rnacentral:rRNA from 1 species
CGCGUGGGUAACCUGCCUCAUACAGGGGGAUAGCAGCUGGAAACGGCUGAUAAAACCGCAUAAGCGCACAGCAUCGCAUGAUGCAGUGUGAAAAACUCCGGUGGUAUGAGAUGGACCCGCGUCUGAUUAGCUGGUUGGUGAGGUAACGGCCCACCAAGGCGACGAUCAGUAGCCGGCCUGAGAGGGUGACCGGCCACAUUGGGACUGAGACACGGCCCAA